rnacentral:tRNA from 1 species
GCGCCAUUAGCUCAAUUGGUAGAGCAGCUGACUCUUAAUCAGUUGGUUGAAGGUUCAAGUCCUUCAUGGCGCA